rnacentral:rRNA from 1 species
UACGAAGGGGGCGAGCGUUGUUCGGAAUCACUGGGCGUAAAGCGUGCGUAGGCGGCGAUGCAAGUUAGGAGUGAAAGCCCAGGGCUCAACCUUGGAAUUGCUUUUAAAACUACAUCGCUCGAAUCUCGGAGAGGAUAGCGGAAUUGUCAGUGUAGCAGUGAAAUGCGUAGAUAUUGACAGGAACACCAGUGGCGUAAGCGGCUAUCUGGACGAGUAUUGACGCUGAGGCACGAAAGCGUGGGGAUCAAACAGG